AUUUAAGCUUCAUAUAUAAAGUAUUUUUCCUUUUUUUAGAA
rnacentral:tRNA from 1 species